rnacentral:rRNA from 1 species
UGGGGAAUAUUGCACAAUGGGGGAAACCCUGAUGCAGCGACGCCGCGUGAGCGAUGAAGUAUUUCGGUAUGUAAAGCUCUAUCAGCAGGGAAGAAAAUGACGGUACCUGACUAAGAAGCACCGGCUAAAUACGUGCCAGCAGCCGCGGUAAUACGUAUGGUGCAAGCGUUAUCCGGAUUUACUGGGUGUAAAGGGAGCGUAGACGGAGAGGCAAGUCUGAUGUGAAAACCCGGGGCUCAACCCCGGGACUGCAUUGGAAACUGUUUUUCUAGAGUGUCGGAGAGGUAAGUGGAAUUCCUAGUGUAGCGGUGAAAUGCGUAGAUAUUGCGCAGAACUCCGAUUGCGAAGGCAGCGUACUGGCGCCUGACUGACGCUGAGGCACGAAAGCGUGGGGAUCGAACAGGAUUAGAUACCC